AUGUGUGGUGUGUGUGUGGUGUGUGUGCACGCAUGUGUGUGGCAUGUAUGUGUGUGGUGUGUAGUGAGUGUGUGUGGGUAUGUGUGGUGUGUGUGUGGUGUGUGUGGGGUGUGUGUGCAUGUGUGUGGUGUGUAUGUGUGGUAUAUGGUGUGUGUGAGUGUAGGGUGUGUAUGGUGUGUGGGGUGUGGUGUGUGUGGGGUGUGUAUGGUGUGUGUAUGGUAUGUGGUGUGGUGUGUGUGGUGUGUGGGGUAUGUGUGUGUGGGGGGGGUGUAUGGUGUGUGGUGUGUGUGGGGUGUAUGUGGUGUAUGGUAUGUGGUGUGUGGGGGGUGUGGGGGUGUGUGUGGGGUGUGUGGUGUGUUGUGUAUGUGGUGUGUGUGUGUGGUGUGUGUGGUGUGUUGUGUAUGUGGUGUGUGUGUGGGGUGUGUGGGGUGUGUGUGGUGUGUGGUGUAUGUGUGGUGUAUGUGGGUGUGUGUGGUGUAUGUGUGGUGUAUGUGGGGUGUGUGUGGUGUGUGUGGUGUGUGUAUGGUGUGUGGUGUGUGUAUGGUAUGUGGUGUAUGUGGUGUGUGUGUGUGUGUGUGGUGUGUGUAUGGUAUGUGGUGUGUGUGUGUGUGUGUGUGGUGUGUGUGUGGUGUGUGUGUGGUGUAUGUGUGUGUGUGUGUGUGUGGUGUGUGUGGUGUAUGUGGGGUGUGUGUGGGUAUGUGUGGGUGUGUGGGGUGUGUGUGUGUGUGUGUGUAUGUGUGGUGUAUGUGGGUGUGUGUGGUGUAUGUGUGGUGUAUGUGGGUGUGUGUGGGUUGUGGGUGUGUGUGUGGUGUGUGUGAUGUGUGGUGUAUGUGUGUGGGUGUAGUGGGUGUGUGGGUGUGUGUGUGUGUGGGGUGUGUGUGGUGUGGUGUAUGUGGUGUGUGUGUGGUGUGUGGUGUGUGUGUGUAUGUGGGUGUGUGUGGUGUAUGUGGGUGUGUGUGGUGUGGUAUGUGGUGUGUGGUGUGUGUGUGGUGUGUGUGUGUGGUGUAUGUGUGUGGGUGUGUGGUGUGUUGUGUAUGUGGUGUGUGUGGUGUGUGUGUGGUGUGGUGUGUGUGGUAUGGUGUGUGUGUGGUGUGUGUGGUGUGUGUGUGGUGUGUGGUGUGUGUGGUGUGUGUGGUGUGUGUAUGGUAUGUGGUGUAUGUGGUGUGUGUGUGUGUUGUGGUGUGUGUGGUGUGUGUGUGUGUGUGGUGUGUGUAUGUGGUGUGUGUGGUGUGUGUGGUGUGUGUGGUGGUGUGGUGUGUGGUGUGUGUGUGUGGUGUGUGUGUGUGUGUGUAUGUGGUGUGUGUGGUGUGUGUGGUGUGUGUGUGGUGUGUGGUGUAUGUGGUGUGUGUGGUGUGUGUGGUGUGUGUGGUGUGUGUGUGUGGUGUGUGUGGUGUGUGUAUGGUGUGGUGUAUGUGGUGUGUGUGGUGUGUGUGUGGUGUGUGUAUGGUAUGUGGGUGUGUGUGGUGUGUGUGGUGUGUGUGUGUGUGUGUGGUGUAUGUGGUGUGUGUGGUGUGUGUGGUGUGUGUGGUGUGUGUGUAUGUGGUGUGUGUGGUGUGUGUGGUGUGUGUGUAUGGUAUGUGGUGUGUGUGGUGUGUGUGGUGUGUGUGGUGUGUGUGUGGUGUGUGUGGUGUGUGUGGUGUGUGUAUGGUGUGUGUGGUGUGUGUGUGUGUGUGUGUGGUGUGUGUGGUGUGUGUGGUGUGUGUGUGGUGUGUGGUGUGUGUAUGGUGUGUGUGUGUGUGGUGUGUGUGUGUGUGUGGUGUGUGUGUGUGGUGUGUAUGGUGUGUGGUGUGUAUGGUGUGUGUGUGUGUGUGGUGUGUGUGUGUGUGUGUGUGUGGUGUGUGUGGUGUGUGUGUGGUGUGUAUGGUGUGUGGUGUGUGUAUGGUGUGUGGUGUGUGUGUAUGGUUGUGGUAUGUGUGUGUGUGUGUGUGUAUGGUAUGUGGUGUGUAUGGUGUGUGGUGUGUGUAUGGUGUGUGGUGUGUGUGGUGUAUGUGGUGUGUGUGGGGUGUGUGUGUGGUGUGA
ensembl:lncRNA